rnacentral:SRP_RNA from 1 species
ACCGGGCGCGGUGGCACGUGUCUGUAGUCCCAGCUAUUCGGGAGGCUGAGGCUGGAGGAUCUCUUGAGUCCAGGAGUUCUAGGCUGUAUGCGCUAUGCCGAUCGGGUGUCCACACUAAGUUUGGCAUCAAUAUGGUGACCUCCCAGGAGCAGGGGACCAGCAGGUUGCCUAAGGAGGGAUGAACCGGCCCAGGUCGGAAACGGAGCAGAUUAAAACUCCUGUGCUGAUAAGUAGUGGAAGUGUGCCUGUGAAGAGCCACUGCACCUCAGCCUGGGCAACACAGGGAGAUCCCAUCUCUU